UCCCUGGUAGCCUAGCAGUUAAGGAUUGGGCAUUGUUGCUGCUGUGAUCCAGGUUCAACCCCUGGCCUGGGAA
rnacentral:tRNA from 1 species